AGGAUAAAAGAUCUCUUGCAGGUCUGCCCGAUAACGUGCGAUCUUGGAAGCUAGGCAGCGCCGUGCCUGGUUAGUACUUGGAUGGGAGAACAAAUUGGGAAGACUAAGGGCUGCUAGCCUC
rnacentral:rRNA from 12 species